GGUGGCUCAGUAGUAGAGUGCUUGCCUUGCAUGCAUAAGGCCCUGGGUUCAAUUCCUAAGCACCA
rnacentral:tRNA from 1 species